CCAGCCAGGAACCUGCAGCUGGGAGAGGAGCCCCAGACCCAGGAGUCCAGGUGUUCCCGUUCUGUGAUCAGGACAGAACACAGACCUCUCACUAUGGAGUUUGUGCUUGGCUGGGUUUUCCUUGUUGCUGUUUUAAAAGGUGUCCAGUGUGAGGUGCAGCUGGUGGAGUCUGGGGGAGGCCUGGCGAAGCCUGGGGGCUCCCUGCGACUCUCCUGUGCAGCCUCCGGAUUUGACUUCAGUAGCCAUGGCAUGAACUGGGUCCGCCAGGCUCCCCAGAAGGGGCUGGAGUGGGUCUCAGGUAUUAAUUAUGAUGGAAGUAGCACAAGCUAUGAGGACUCCAUGAAGGGUCGAUUCACCAUCUCCAGAGACAACGCCAAGAACACGCUCUAUCUGCAGAUGAACAACCUGAGAGUCGAGGACACGGCCAUGUAUUUCUGUGCGAGAGACACAGUGAGGGGACUUCAGUGUGAGCCCAGACACAAACUUCCCUGUAGAAGGAGAACAUCACCACCAGGGGGUGCACACUCUGUACAAUUCUGGUUUGUGUUCCCUGGAGCAGGUGCAGAUGGAGGUUACAGGCAGGUUUCCUGUCAGGGUUUGGGGCUUCCUUUCCACACAGCUGUUUCCCCCAGGGAGCCUCUCUGGACCCAUGAUUCUGUGCUUACCUACUCACUCUCUGUAUUAGAAAGCUUGUUGUCAUAG